rnacentral:rRNA from 1 species
AGCUCGAUGAGUAGGGCGGGACACGUGGUAUCCUGUCUGAAUAUGGGGGGACCAUCCUCCAAGGCUAAAUACUCCUGACUGACCGAUAGUGAACCAGUACCGUGAGGGAAAGGCGAAAAGAACCCCGGCGAGGGGAGUGAAAAAGAACCUGAAACCGUGUACGUACAAGCAGUGGGAGCACAGAGCAAUCUGUGUGACUGCGUACCUUUUGUAUAAUGGGUCAGCGACUUAUAUUCUGUAGCAAGGUUAACCGAAUAGGGGAGCCGAAGGGAAACCGAGUCUUAACUGGGCGUUAAGUUGCAGGGUAUAGACCCGAAACCCGGUGAUCUAGCCAUGGGCAGGUUGAAGGUUGGGUAACACUAACUGGAGGACCGAACCGACUAAUGUUGAAAAAUUAGCGGAUGACUUGUGGCUGGGGGUGAAAGGCCAAUCAAACCGGGAGAUAGCUGGUUCUCCCCGAAAGCUAUUUAGGUAGCGCCUCGUGAAUUCAUCUCCGGGGGUAGAGCACUGUUUCGGCAAGGGGGUCAUCCCGACUUACCAACCCGAUGCAAACUGCGAAUACCGGAGAAUGUUAUCACGGGAGACACACGGCGGGUGCUAACGUCCGUCGUGAAGAGGGAAACAACCCAGACCGCCAGCUAAGGUCCCAAAGUCAUGGUUAAGUGGGAAACGAUGUGGGAAGGCCCAGACAGCCAGGAUGUUGGCUUAGAAGCAGCCAUCAUUUAAAGAAAGCGUAAUAGCUCACUGGUCGAGUCGGCCUGCGCGGAAGAUGUAACGGGGCUAAACCAUGCACCGAAGCUGCGGCAGCGACGCUUAUGCGUUGUUGGGUAGGGGAGCGUUCUGUAAGCCUGCGAAGGUGUGCUGUGAGGCAUGCUGGAGGUAUCAGAAGUGCGAAUGCUGACAUAAGUAACGAUAAAGCGGGUGAAAAGCCCGCUCGCCGGAAGACCAAGGGUUCCUGUCCAACGUUAAUCGGGGCAGGGUGAGUCGACCCCUAAGGCGAGGCCGAAAGGCGUAGUCGAUGGGAAACAGGUUAAUAUUCCUGUACUUGGUGUUACUGCGAAGGGGGGACGGAGAAGGCUAUGUUGGCCGGGCGACGGUUGUCCCGGUUUAAGCGUGUAGGCUGGUUUUCCAGGCAAAUCCGGAAAAUCAAGGCUGAGGCGUGAUGACGAGGCACUACGGUGCUGAAGCAACAAAUGCCCUGCUUCCAGGAAAAGCCUCUAAGCAUCAGGUAACAUCAAAUCGUACCCCAAACCGACACAGGUGGUCAGGUAGAGAAUACCAAGGCGCUUGAGAGAACUCGGGUGAAGGAACUAGGCAAAAUGGUGCCGUAACUUCGGGAGAAGGCACGCUGAUAUGUAGGUGAAGCGACUUGCUCGUGGAGCUGAAAUCAGUCGAAGAUACCAGCUGGCUGCAACUGUUUAUUAAAAACACAGCACUGUGCAAACACGAAAGUGGACGUAUACGGUGUGACGCCUGCCCGGUGCCGGAAGGUUAAUUGAUGGGGUCAGCGCAAGCGAAGCUCUUGAUCGAAGCCCCGGUAAACGGCGGCCGUAACUAUAACGGUCCUAAGGUAGCGAAAUUCCUUGUCGGGUAAGUUCCGACCUGCACGAAUGGCGUAAUGAUGGCCAGGCUGUCUCCACCCGAGACUCAGUGAAAUUGAACUCGCUGUGAAGAUGCAGUGUACCCGCGGCAAGACGGAAAGACCCCGUGAACCUUUACUAUAGCUUGACACUGAACAUUGAGCCUUGAUGUGUAGGAUAGGUGGGAGGCUUUGAAGUGUGGACGCCAGUCUGCAUGGAGCCGACCUUGAAAUACCACCCUUUAAUGUUUGAUGUUCUAACGUGGACCCGUAAUCCGGGUUGCGGACAGUGUCUGGUGGGUAGUUUGACUGGGGCGGUCUCCUCCUAAAGAGUAACGGAGGAGCACGAAGGUUGGCUAAUCCUGGUCGGACAUCAGGAGGUUAGUGCAAUGGCAUAAGCCAGCUUGACUGCGAGCGUGACGGCGCGAGCAGGUGCGAAAGCAGGUCAUAGUGAUCCGGUGGUUCUGAAUGGAAGGGCCAUCGCUCAACGGAUAAAAGGUACUCCGGGGAUAACAGGCUGAUACCGCCCAAGAGUUCAUAUCGACGGCGGUGUUUGGCACCUCGAUGUCGGCUCAUCACAUCCUGGGGCUGAAGUAGGUCCCAAGGGUAUGGCUGUUCGCCAUUUAAAGUGGUACGCGAGCUGGGUUUAGAACGUCGUGAGACAGUUCGGUCCCUAUCUGCCGUGGGCGCUGGAGAACUGAGGGGGGCUGCUCCUAGUACGAGAGGACCGGAGUGGACGCAUCACUGGUGUUCGGGUUGUCAUGCCAAUGGCACUGCCCGGUAGCUAAAUGCGGAAGAGAUAAGUGCUGAAAGCAUCUAAGCACGAAACUUGCCCCGAGAUGAGUUCUCCCUGACUCCUUGAGAGUCCUGAAGGAACGUUGAAGACGACGACGUUGAUAGGCCGGGUGUGUAAGCGCAGCGAUGCGUUGAGCUAACCGGUACUAAUGAACCGUGAGG